GUGCCAGCCGCCGCGGUAAUACGUAGGGACCAAGCGUUGUUCGGAUUUACUGGGCGUAAAGGGCGCGUAGGCGGCGUGACAAGUCACUUGUGAAAUCUCCGGGCUUAACUCGGAACGGUCAAGUGAUACUGUUGUGCUGGAGUACAGAAGGGGCAAUCGGAAUUCUUGGUGUAGCGGUGAAAUGCGUAGAUAUCAAGAGGAACACCAGAGGCGAAGGCGGAUUGCUGGGCUGAUACUGACGCUGAGGCGCGAAAGCUAGGGUAGCAAACGGGAUUAGAAACCCCAGUAGUCC
rnacentral:rRNA from 1 species